rnacentral:rRNA from 1 species
CCGCGGUGAUACGUAGGUGGCAAGCGUUGUCCGGAUUUAUUGGGCGUAAAGCGAGCGCAGGCGGUUUUUUAAGUCUGAUGUGAAAGCCUUCGGCUCAACCGAAGAAGUGCAUCGGAAACUGGGAAACUUGAGUGCAGAAGAGGACAGUGGAACUCCAUGUGUAGCGGUGAAAUGCGUAGAUAUAUGGAAGAACACCAGUGGCGAAGGCGGCUGUCUGGUCUGUAACUGACGCUGAGGCUCGAAAGUAUGGGUAGCAAACAGGAUUAGAUACCCUGGUAGUCCAUACCGUAAACGAUGAAUGCUAAGUGUUGGAGGGUUUCCGCCCUCCAGUGCUGCAGCUAACGCAUUAAGCAUUCCGCCUGGGGAGUACGGCCGCAAGGCUGAAACUCAAAGGAAUUGACGGGGGCCCGCACAAGCGGUGGAGCAUGUGGUUUAAUUCGAAGCUACGCGAAGAACCUUACCAGGUCUUGACAUACUAUGCAAAUCUAAGAGAUUAGACGUUCCCUUCGGGGACAUGGAUACAGGUGGUGCAUGGUUGUCGUCAGCUCGUGUCGUGAGAUGUUGGGUUAAGUCCCGCAACGAGCGCAACCCUUAUUAUCAGUUGCCAGCAUUAAGUUGGGCGCUCUGGUGAGACUGCCGGUGACAAACCGGAGGAAGGUGGGGAUGACGUCAAAUCAUCAUGCCCCUUAUGACCUGGGCUACACACGUGCUACAAUGGAUGGUACAACGAGUUGCGAACUCGCGAGAGUAAGCUAAUCUCUUAAAGCCAUUCUCAGUUCGGAUUGUAGGCUGCAACUCGCCUACAUGAAGUCGGAAUCGCUAGUAAUCGCGGAUCAGCAUGCCGCGGUGAAUACGUUCCCGGGCCUUGUACACACCGCCCGUCACACCAUGAGAGUUUGUAACACCCAAAGUCGGUGGGGUAACCUUUUAGGAACCAGCCGCCUAAGGUGGGACAGAUGAUUAGGGUGAAGUCGUAACAAGG